UGCAUUACAAUUGACAUGGAUUGCACGGUGGAGAUGUAUGUGUUCCCCGAGGGGAUUUGGUGCAGGGUGGGGGAUCACCCAAUCCUCUAGAGGAUUAAAUCCACCAGAGGAUUAAACACUCCUGAACCGAACAAGGCCUCAUGGUGAGCGAUCUCCAGCCCCCUACCUCCCGCAUCUUCGCCGCCAGCCUCCUCCCACGCGCUCUAGGUAGCCUGCGUCCUACCAUCUUUGCGGCGCCGCCUGCGACUUCACCAUCAUGUAAAUCCCUGUAGAUGCGGGGAGCUGGAAAUGGAGGAUUGCCUCCGCCAGGCUGAGGGGUCGACCUGGAAGCCGCCUUGAAUGACCACAACGGAUCUGGCCAUCAGCGAGUAGGCCGAGCCUCCUGCUCCGGCCACGGCCAUCCCGACGUCGGAUCUGGUGCUCAUGCUAUGUUCUUCUCCUCGUGCAACCCCUCCCCCAUGUUUAUUUUGCCUCCGUCCUACCCCGCUCUGCAUCAACUAACUCGGCGCUGCAUGAUCCUGGGGCAACGAGGUUGAUCGGAUGGUGUUCGUCAUGUUAGGAAGAUGAGUGUGUAACUCAUGGAGUGCAAUCUGUUGCGUGUUAGGAAGUGGCCGUGACCUUGAUGGGUUGGGGCUCGCCUCCCACACUUCUCUUCCUCGUGUACAACAACCAUGGCGGCCCCUAGGAAUGCUUGAUCUAAAAAUCCCUUGAAUUCGUUGCCCAAGUUGAAUCCUAUGACCUGACUGUCUGUCAUGGUGCAGGUGUCGAAUUGUUGAUGGAGGCUUUAGGUCGUCCUUCUCAAGGAGCUGAGGCUGGCCAUUAAGGAUCUGGGGUGAAGGUCAUGUCAUCUCUUCUCGUGGAUCUAAUGCCCAAUGCUUCCACUGCUUAUAUUUUGAGCUCUUUGAUCUGAGCAAAAACCAUGGGAAGAAUUCACGGACAGGUACUGCUGAAUCAAUAGCAGCAUGCCAGAAACUGAAGGCAGACAGACCUCCAAGCAGCAUUUUGUGUCCUCCCAAAGGACAUGCAGCAGCUGCUGCUUUCCAAUCCUAAACGAGCCGUACUUCUUCAAGCGAGGCAAGAAAAGGUCUCAAGACUUGGGGACAUUGUCUCCCAGACAAGUUUGUAGCAGUUCACUUUUUCUUUGUACUAUUAAUAUUGCAAUUCUUUUAUCCACAGAGUAAAAAAUUCGUACGAUUUUUUAUACAUGGGUGCUGGCCUGCUGGAUUUGACUCACUUUUAUCCACAAAGUCUAAAAUUUACACGCAUUUUUUAUAUAUACAUGGCUGCUGGAUUUGACUCAAAUUACCUUUGUGUCUCACCCUGUAUGAUUCCACUAAAAAAAGUUUCAUUGAAGAAACAGUAACAUAACCAAAUGAUUUAUUGUCUUGGUUCUUUUUUUAUCUGCAGAAACUAUAUAGCUUAAGAAAUCAUAUUUUACAUUAUGUAACAGUCCUGAGCAUCCUCCAUUAAAAAUAAAUAGGCAAGAUUAUUCAGAUUGAGGAUCUUAAGGAGUGAUGUUAAUGGUUGGUCUUAUAGCUGGAUGCCCAUCAAAUUGUAAGUACAUAAGCAUUAGGUUCUUCUAUAAUUUGUACGACAAUGCAAUUUGGAUGUUACAUGUAAACAAUGUUACCCCUUACAGAUAAAAUUGUAGCAAACCAAGCCAGCAUAAUAUAUGCCCCUUUAAGAGGAUGGUGGAUGCCGGUAUAAUAUCUAUGUAGUGCAUUUUUGGAUUAUGUAGAAGCUUCCAAUUAUUUAGAAUGAGUAUGGAACACAAACCGAUGUGCUUGGUUUGUGCUUUGUGUUUCUAUCACGACCUGUUUUAGAAGGCGCCAAGAUGAAUGUUAAUUCAUUAGAGGAGAAUCAAUCAAGCGAUUUUAUUUGCGAAAUAAGUUUUUAAUAACCAUAUUUCCACUUCAUGGUGAUUUGAUAACCGAUUUAUGGUUUCUUCCACUUUAAUUGGGAAAGAUGCUGGGGUGCGAACUGUCCCGACAACGACACUUCUGCCUGCUGACUGCAUGAAGGACUGCCUGGCUCAACCUCUAUCUCAAUGUUAACUCAAUGCCCAACAAUGUCGUCAAUUGUGAGCAAGCAGUUACUUCAAAUUCCAUUGCCCAAAUGCCGUAUGUACGUACCCUGAGUACAAGAGACGAUGGAUGCAAAAGUCAGAAAAUUAGGAACCUGAAGGGAAAAUGGAAGGCGGCUUUGAUCGACAUUCAGCCCAGAGUACAAGGAUGAUCCCUACAUCUAUACUUUUGAUAUGCUGAAGCACAUUGGCAUUGAGCCAAGGCAGAUGUAGGGCAGUGGUGGCGGGUGCAUAUGUAGGGCAGCGGGAGCGGGUACAACCAUCUUAGGGAGAUCCUCUUCUCAUAUCAUGCCCAGUUGUUACUCCUCCAUUCGCUCGCCUCUCACCAUAUGUUCUACAAUAGCACGAUGGCGGCGGCACAGAUGUGUGCAGCGGUGAUGUUCUGCUCAAGGAGAGUCUCUGGCGGCUCGGCGGGGAUGCGCUGACCCUCUCUACGUCAGCAUUUUCUGGCGGCAUCUGCCCCAUCCAUCGAUGGUGUGGCGCCUUUGAUCCAGGAAAGGAGGUAGUGGCCUUCUUCAGUGGUGUGUUGGAUGUGACGUGCUGGGGCCCGUAGCUGCUUGGCGACGGCAUGCCCCGCUGGUGUCAGGCCCUCUCUCCUUCGAGCUGGUGCGAUUUUGUUCUUGCUGCAGCAUUCCAUGAGGACCUCGAUGUUUUCGGCUCCUCUCUCUAUUUUAGUCUACAGACUACAUCAAUUAAGGUUCAACUGUCUUAUGUCUCUACUUCGUAGAUUGUAUACAUGCACAAGCUAAAUAUAGGUUGCAAGAGGUUGGAUGAAGAUGCAACACAUUCAUGUAAAUGUUGCUCCUGCACUGUGUUUAUGCACACUUUUUAGGUGAUUGUUCAUUAUUUAGUCAACUUCCUUAUGUUUGUAAUUUGUGUGAUUGUGCACAUUUUUAGGUGAUUGUUUAUACCUUUUAAUUUGUGUAAAGUUCAUGUUUGUAAUGACUAAUGAGGUGGCACUCUUGAAAAGUGAGAAAUUAUGCAGUAUAUCCACUUUCUUCUGUCUAUUUUAAGUAUUAUUGUGGGUCUGCAGUAUGAAUCACUACACGCUGGAGAAGUUCCUGGAGGCGAUCAGGAGCAGAGGCAUCAAGAUAUGCCCUGGGUGCAAUGCCUCGCAGGCUGUAGCACCUGCCCAGGUAAGUUCGUACUGUACCUGGACUGCAAUUUGGUUUUAUCUCUCCUCUCCUCCAUUAUUUUCAUGUUCUCUAGAGGCUCCUAUAUUUGAAAAAUUAUUAGUAACCUAAAGUGCGCAUCUACAUGUACUGGGGUUAGGUAAACAACGUUCUAGAUGAGUUGUUUGAAUCAGAAAGGUCGAAGUCCAUCCGAUAAGAAGUAGACAUGAGAUGGGUGAGUGCCUGAGUAGUCAGAGGCUCAAUACGGCUUUAAGAUACUGUGGCCAUAUAAUAAGUACUUUUAAAUAAAUUCAAUUUGAUUAAAUGUAUUUCACAUCCAGGCCCUUGUGUUCAACUUUGUAUUUAUUGUUUACUUGCAUAACAUUAAUCAGAACGUAGGUUCUUGAUUUGCUAUAUGGCAUGUGUCUCGGAAACAGACAGGAAAUUGCCGAAUAGUUAUUGCAUGGAAUUAUAUUGUGGUUGUAAUCUUGAAUCGAGACAAAUAUUUUCCGAAGUUGGGAGAUUGAGGUGGAUGCUGCAACGCGAGUUUCAUAUCAUCGCGUAACACUGUCUCCUGAAACACCGCAUUCUUCCCGUGUGUGGUUGCGUCGGGGCUGUCGCCAUCCUCCCGUGCAUCGCAUGUGUAGGGGACAUGUUUUGUUAUACUCUGCGUCGAGGUUCUCCUCGUUGUUCUGAGGGUCGAGGCCACAUUAUUCAAACUUUCUGUUUUUCUUGGUUUUCAUCUAUGAUUCAACCUACUUGUUUCAGUUAUGCAUAUGUCGGCAAGACAAGUUUUGCCUGCUCUGCUUCAUAUCAGUCUCUUCUCAUCGCGGCCAGAGCUUGGAAGCAAUUCAACUAGGCACCAUGACGCUGGAUGGAAGUACAACUUCUUGUCGGAAGGUUCUUAUAUAUGGUCUCUAGAAACACUCGCAUGCAGACUCUCUGCCCUCGUUCGCCCGCCGCCGCCCUUCGUCCCUUCGCCACCGCCGCUCCAUGCCUUCGCCGCUGCCCUCGCCCAUCAAAGCCGCCGCCCUCCAUCGGACGAUCCACUUCAGGAGACGCCGCCGACCCCGUUCAGGACCAGCCGCCGAUCACGUCCAGGAUCCGACGCCGUUCCCCUUCAGAAGCCGCACGCCACCGCAGAUCCAUCCCCUGAAAAAUCGAGACUCUUGAGAUGGGCGAUCGAGAGGGGAUCAAAAGGAGUAACUUUCACCUGCGGCCGCAAAGGGCCUUUACACCGCCGCCGAGAGCCGUGCGCGGGUGGUGCGCUGUGAGCGGCCGAUGGCCGCCGCUUUAGUAGCCCGCCAAGAGCUGUCGUCGUGCAUUGGCUGUGUGCCGACUCGAACCAAGGAGUCGGCCAUGGUCGAGGGCCAAGGCGAGCGCGGCCGUGGGGACUGUCAAGCGAGCGAACGCGCGCGUGCCUGAGGGCGGCCGCUGCUUGCGCUGCAAUGGCGAGAGCGAAAGGAGGAAGAGGAGACCCCUGGUGGCGCGGACAUCCAACGACCCGGACAUCGUUCUCCCGUGACGUCCUCCUCCAAGCCCGAAUCCAGUGCCUCCUCAAGAAAUGGAGAAGCGCCAUGGUUGGCUGUUGCUUGAGGAAAUGAGGAGAUGCAUAUGUCUGCAAUGUUGCUGGAGCACGCCUCCCCCCCUUGAUGGCAAUGGCGGAUCAGCACGAACACGGGGGGAGAGGAUCAGGGCGGAGAGCGGGGCGGUUGGUGGUGGAUUUCUCCUUGGCUGUCUGUGGGGAAGUGCGGUGUGAAGGAGAGAGAGCGACAUGGCCAAGGUGAGGUGGGUGUCAUCCGGUUUUCAAGGCGAGGGCUCCAGCGAGAAAUGUCCCGUACAGCGAGAAACCGAGCAGGAAGUGGAGGGUCCGGCAGGAAAAGUGAAGGGUGCUUCGUGGGAUGGGGUUUUUGUGUUGGGACCGCGUUUGGGGAUAACAUGGGAUAGUCUGGACAGUCACAUUUCUCCCCCACACAUGGGUUAGAUUUGGAUGAGCCUGAACUGUCGAUGUUGAAUUUUGGGGAGGCCGCUGGGUGCCCGUGUGAUGUCCGAACACACCCGGACGUAUGAGGGAGAAAUGAGUUUCGACCUCGUAGACGACCUUAAUCAUUUGUAUGCCCAUAGCAACGCACGGGCGUUCUACUAAUGAAUAUCUUAAGCGCAUCAUCUAGAUAGUGAUAGUUUUGUAAUAGAUGUUUAGUUGGAACAUCACUCAGUUUGUUAUAUGGACAUGUCGUUAAUCUUUUAUUUUUGUCAAUUUACAUUGCAAAAAUUGGCUUCAAUUAUUCAAUAAUUGUGUUUGUGUUA